UUCGAUAAAGAAAUAACCUGUAUCACCUUGUAGCAAUCAGUUCGUGAAAUAAACAUGAAGUGGGUAUUCCUACUGCUCUGCCUGACAGUGCUUUGUUCAGUUGCAUACGCUGAACUCAAGGUGGCUGAUCUUGAAGGAGACCAAGUUAACGGACGUUUGGAACCCGUGUCAGACAAUGAUGGAUCGGGUGCCGGAAAGGUACGACGUGCCGGCGACAGAACCUACUUCCUGAAACCUGGUGGCGGUUAAUACAUU